rnacentral:rRNA from 1 species
UAGGGAAUUUUGCGCAAUGGACGAAAGUCUGACGCAGCAACGCCGCGUGAGUGAUGAAGGUCUUCGGAUUGUAAAGCUCUGUUGAGUGGGAAGAAAAGUUUCGGGUCUAAUAUACCCGGAGCCUGACGGUACCAUUCGAGGAAGCCCCGGCUAACUACGUGCCAGCAGCCGCGGUAAUACGUAGGGGGCAAGCGUUGUUCGGAAUCACUGGGCGUAAAGGGAGCGUAGGCGGGUUCAUAAGUUAGAAGUUUAAUGCACAGGCUCAACCUGUGACUUGCUUUUAAUACUGUGGAUCUUGAGUAUGGAAGAGGGAGAUGGAAUUCCAGGUGUAGCGGUGGAAUGCGUAGAUAUCUGGAAGAACACCAUUAGCGAAGGCGGUCUCCUGGUCCAAUACUGACGCUGAGGCUCGAAAGCUAGGGGAGCAAACAGG